rnacentral:rRNA from 1 species
UACGGAGGGAGCUAGCGUUGUUCGGAAUUACUGGGCGUAAAGCGCGCGUAGGCGGCUCAGCAAGUCAGGGGUGGAAUCCCGGGGCUCAACCCCGGAACUGCCUUUGAAACUGCUCGGCUAGAAUCCUGGAGAGGCGAGUGGAAUUCCGAGUGUAGAGGUGAAAUUCGUAGAUAUUCGGAAGAACACCAGUGGCGAAGGCGACUCGCUGGACAGGUAUUGACGCUGAGGUGCGAAAGCGUGGGGAGCAAAC